rnacentral:misc_RNA from 1 species
GAUGAAGAACGUAGCGAAAUGCGAUACGUAAUGUGAAUUGCAGAAUUCAGUGAAUCAUCGAAUCUUUGAACGCAUAUUGCGCUCUCUGGUAUUCCGGAGAGCAUGCUUGUUUGAGUAUCAGUAAACACCUCAACUCCCUUUCUUCUUGAAAUGGAGCUGGACUUGAGUGAUCCCAACGCUUUAUUCAUAAAGUGGCGGGUUACUUGAAAUGCAGGUGCAGCUGGACUUUUCUCUGAGCUAUAAGCAUAUCUAUUUAGUCUGCCUCAAAACAGAUUAUUACCUUUGCUGCAGCUAACAUAAAGGAGAUUAGUUCUUGUGCUGACUGAUGCAGGAUUCACAAAGACCGCUUCGGCUGUCUUUGUAAACUCGAUCUCAAAUCAAGUAAGACUACCCGCUGAACUUAAGCAUAUCAAUAAGCGAAGGA